CUGGUCUCUGGUUCACUGGGAGUUCAUUGGGAUAUAUUUGCAACUCCUGAAGCAAAAAAAAAGAAUUCCUGGGGCAGUCAGAGGAAGAAGACCCGUCUCAGGAAGCUUUCGUUGACAGAUCUUCAGAGCACGGAGGAGAGCACAAUCCACCUACUCCCUGUCUGGCCAUCAGACCACCAGCACAGAGCUGCUCCCCCAGGUGAGCAGCACAGGAAAGAGUACACAAACAGCUCUUGUGCCUAUCAAAGAUGUGUUGUAAAGCCAAGGAAUAUCCUGUAUUUCCAAACAGAAAAUGGGAGGGAGGAACAAUUAACUAAAAUACUCUUGAAAUGUAAGUUUGAUAUUCUGAACUUUUCUGACCUCAGUUGUCAUCUGCAUCAUGACUAUAAUAAACACAAUAAAACAUUAAGACAGUAAGCAGGAACUAAGGAAAACAUGGAGGCCAGAAGGACAUGGCAUGGACACAAAGCAAUCUCCAUUUCCAAGUUAAACCAUUUGGGCAGAUACAGCCUUCCUUGAUGAAUGUGCAGAAGACAGAAAUACAGCAAUGGAAAUGCAGCAAAUGAGCAACUACAGUAAGAAGAACUUUCAAAAACCAAACAUGAUCUUUACAGAUUUCUGUAAGCUCAUCACUAGCCUGUGAUCAAAUCCCUGGAUGAUCUUUCCAGAGUGUCCUUCCUCCAAAGUUGAUUAGAACCUGGGACUUACCUAUUUUGAGAGAAACAACAGGUCUGUUGACUACUGGGGUUCUUUUAAGUGCUUUUAUUGCUAGUGAGCCAGCACACCACCUUGCAACGGCUGGGAAAUUAGAAUGAAAUAUCUCUUCUGAACAGAUUAAGAAAGCAUUUGUUUCUCUUAUUUUUCUUUAUUCAUUCUUGAUAGAAAAGAAACAAUUAUUUGUUCCCAGUGAGUACAUAGAUACAGUUAUUUUUAUUUUCUAUGCCUACUGUAUGUAGAAACAUUUUUAGGAAAUCUAGUGUAAAGUACAAUAUUGAACUCCCACAUUGACAAAUCAUCCUAACCAUUUGUAUAUAAGUGUGAACACUCUGUGUAUGGCCAAG
rnacentral:lncRNA from 1 species